UUUUGUUUUUCCGUGUCCAAUGUUUAACUAUUUGUCUUAUUUAAAAAUUUUUACGAUCAUUAUUUUUAUUAUUACUAGAUGAUAAAAUAUGAAUAGUACUUUAUAUGUGACAAUUUUUUUUGAGUUUUUUAUAUAAAUUUUUUAAAUAAGACAAAUGUUCAAACAUCGGACACGAAAAAUAAACUUAUU
rfam:Oryza brachyantha chromosome 1, whole genome shotgun sequence.